rnacentral:rRNA from 1 species
CAUUUCUUUUUGUUAAUAUAUUAAAGUAAGACCUGCUCAAUGAAUAUUUUAAAUAGCUGCGGUAUUUUGACUGUACAAAGGUAGCAUAAUCAUUAGUUUUUUAAUUGAAAGCUAGAAUGAAUGGUUUAACGAGGAAUGAGCUGUCUUUAUUUUAUUAGUAAAAUUUAAUUUUUUUGUUAAAAAGCUGAGAUUUAUUUAAAAGACGAGAAGACCCUAUAGAUCUUUAUUUAAAUAGUUAAUUUAAUUUUUUUGAUUAAGGUUUUUAUUUAACUAAUUAAAUUUUAUUGGGGUGAUGUAAAGAUUCAAUAAACUCUUUAUAAUUUAGUUUAAUUGUUUUUAUUAUUUUGAUCCAUUAUUUAUGAUUAUAAGAUUAAGUUACCUUAGGGAUAACAGCGUAAUUUUUUUGAAGAGUUCUUAUCGAUAAAAAAGAUUGCGACCUCGAUGUUGGAUUAAGAAAAAAUUUUGGUGAAGAAUUUAAAAUUUUAAGUCUGUUCGACUUUUAAACUCUUACAUGAUCUGAGU